CCAGCACCAGAACCAAGUUCGUUUAGAUCUCCACCGCCAUUGAAGAGAAAUGGAUUACCCAAAACUGAACCGAAUGGGAAGAGAUUUGGCUGCAUCUCUCAUCUCUUCUUUAUACCAGUAAGAUCAAUAAUUGAUCCAUCCAAUUUUCCAAAGGAGUAAUCGAUUUCACGAUCGGAGAAAAUGUCUGUGUUUUUUUUUUUUUUUCGGCGAGUCACAAAUCGGAUCGGGAAGAGAUCUAGAAGAAGGAGACUUUUGUUGAGUCUUUUGAUUUGUUUCGACAAUGGUGUGUGUUUGAUUAAAGCCACUUCUUCUUUUUAC
rnacentral:lncRNA from 1 species